AAAAACAAAUCUGUUAACAAAAAAUCUGUUAUUACUAAAAAGGUUAUUCUAGUGAUAAACAAAUCGGCCAUAACAUUGACAUGAGAAAAUCUGUUAUGCUUUGACACUGAAAAACAAAACUGUUAUCACUAAAAACAAAUCUGUUAUCACUAUGUGACUGUGUAGUAAUUGUAAUUUUUAACA
rnacentral:sRNA from 1 species